UUUUAAAUCUAUUUCGUUUAUGUACAAUAAUCAUUUAUAUUAAUAAAAUCUGUAAAUAAGUACACGCUCAAACUAGUUCAACCAAAGCUGAUUGACCUAAAAAACCACCUUAGAGAAAUGUUAAAAAAUGCAGUGUAUUCUACAAUCAAAUAUUUCAUGUUAUUUUAACAAUGACAUUCACAUGGUGUCUUUUAAUUCUGAAAAUAUAAUAACAUUAUAAAUGGUAUUCUAGAUCUGCAUAUGGCUCUAACUACAAAAAUAAACAGACUAGUAUAUAUUUGUUAUGGAGCCAGCUGAAGGACGCCUCCGGGUGCGGGAAUUUCUCGCUACAUUGAAGACCUGUUGGUGACCCUCUGCUGUUGUUUUUUAUUUGGUCGGGUUGUUGUCUCUUUGACACAUUCCCCAUUUCCAUUCUCAAUUUUAAUUACUUUACAUUUUUCAUUUCUGGGCCUUUUAUAGCUUACUAUGCGGUAUGGGUUUUGCUCAUUAUUUAAGGCAUACGGCGACCUAUAGUUGUUAAUUUUUGUGUAUUGUUGAGAGUUGUCUCAUUGGCAAUCAUACCUUGCACAUCUACUGAUUUAAUAGAGACAUACACUACGAAUGAAAAUCACAUUACUAUGUAGCUUAACGUCGUCAACUUUUCAUUACCGUGCAGGCGAAAACCCGGUUGAAAUAGAACAAAAGAAUCGAAGCUCUUUGUUAGAAAAGGAGAUAAAUGCUUACUGUAUUGUUUGCUAUAGUAACACACUUUUUAAAAGUUAAUAGAAACAAAUAAAAUGACAAUUUUAUCCUCAAUUACGAAGUAUUUUAUUUUAAAAACGCCAUUUGCAUACGUUUUCAAUUUAUCUAUUACAUAGUUAAGCAGAACAAUUAGAUACAUUUGUAUCAAGUCGACGACAUGGGUAUCUAUCAAGUUGGAUGUAGAAAAUGCAUAACCUCAAAUUUUUUUUAACACAGACGGAGAACAUAUCAAUAUAUUAGUUCAGUAAUUUUCGUGUCUGCCCUUCCAUUAUGUGACUCAAGAAAAAAUAAACCACAAUAUGGGUAACAUUUGUAUCGAAAAGAGAAAUCGAGUGCAUCUUUUUAUGUUAGGGCGUGUUUGAGUUGAAUAUUUUGUUUUGAAAACGUAUAAAGCAAGAGUAUUUGAUUCAUCAUCAGAUUCUAUCAUUUUUAUAUAUCAAGGCUACAGGUUGACUUUAUAACAUCAAACAUUCACAGUACUAAAAGAUGAAAUAUAUGGGUCAAGUGAAAUGCAUGCAAGUGAAAUACCUUCUAAUGAAUCAUCAAAACAGAGUAGGUGUGUUCGAAUAGCUAAUAUUUACUAAAAGCACUUGACGACAGUCUUUUAAGUUGGAUCCUAAAAAAUGCAUAUCUU
rnacentral:lncRNA from 1 species